CUUCGGUGGAGGUUGCACAGGGGGAUCCAUUUCGGCGAGUUACUCAGUCGAAGCCCUUUGAAGAGUUAAGAGAGGAGCUUAAUCGUAUGAAGGCUUCCAUGUCUGGUGUGGAUCGGGAGAAUCUGAUCCCAUGUGAUCUUAUCCAAGAGGAAACUUCAACCCUAACAGCUUCUGCCCUAAAUCUUCUCCAAUCUCGGUGGUCAGACAACGUAGAAAUGGAGGGGAGUGAGGAAGUUGUUGUAGAUCGCGAAUAAGUAUAUCCCAGACAACCUCUUUCUUGCUAGGGCGAGAAAUCUGGUAUCGAAGCUUGAUGCCCUUCUGAUGGCUGGGAGUGUCCAUUCUCAUGGAGUUGGUGGUGGUAUGGCUGAUUCGAAGGUUUACACACCUAUUAGAGGUCGAUCUGGGUCAGGUGGUCGUGGAGGAAGGGGAGGCAGAGGCCAAAAUCCUCUGGCCCUGAAUCCUGAGUUGAAUGUGGUUUCAACUGUAGACAAUGCGGCUCCUGAUAAGUCAUGGGCUUCUAUUUCUGAUCUCUCUUGCUCUGUCUUUCUGGUAUGUGUGUUUCUGAUUAAGCAUACUAUUUGUUCGGAUUGGUUGUUCUACUUUUCGCUCUCCUGGUAAUCCUAACUGCCCUUUUAACCUUGAAUUGAUUUAAAAGUGUUAAUUUUGUAUUAUAAAUCUAAGGGGACACUGCAUUUGCCCAAACUGUUUAGCUGAUGAUCUCAGGUUUAACUUGUAAAUGCUGCUGAUUAGAAGUUCAAAAUUAAACAUUCAAUUUUGAACGUCUAAAAUAUGAAGUUAAAGGUUAGAAGAUGCAUAAGAAAUGGGAGGGGUUUUCAAUAUAAGGCACAAUAUGCUGCUGAAGUGACAAGCAAUUUCGUUUAGAUUUGAGAAGCAACUGUGUUGUAUAUUGGCUGUAUAAGUGUUGCUUCGAUAGAAUCUUUUAAAAAAAAAAAAAUUGUGGUGUGCAUUUUUGGAUAGGGACCUUUAUGAUUAUGAUUUCUAACAAACUAUAUUGAAACUGAUUUGGUGGGUCUUGCUAUAUUUUUUAAACGAUGUCCAAACCUUCAGAUGUUGAUCAUGGAUCAUGAUGCAACAGGUCAAUAUGAGACACUCUCACAGGAGUUACAAUGGAAAGAAAUUUGGUGUUGCUUGCCAAGUUUGAAAAAAUUAUCAUUUAAAAACUUCAAGGUAACAGCCUUCCAAUUGUAUUUGUUAAUGUUGUUGACGAAUCAAGGACCAGUCCUAGAGGAAGUUCUUGUGGAACUGAGAAUGUGAGACCUCAUUGACAAACUGUCCAAGUAUGUCUCUCUCAGUAGUUCUAAGAAACUAAGAGUUUACCCUUCAUUUUGAUCAAUUAUAAUGAUGACAAAUUGGAGACUGAGUUUGUCUUUAAUUUUGAUGAAUUAUAA